rnacentral:rRNA from 1 species
CGCCCUUAGAGUUUGAUCCUGGCUCAGGAUGAACGCUAGCUACAGGCUUAACACAUGCAAGUCGAGGGGAAACGACAUCGAAAGCUUGCUUUUGAUGGGCGUCGACCGGCGCACGGGUGAGUAACGCGUAUCCAACCUGCCCACCACUUGGGGAUAACCUUGCGAAAGUAAGACUAAUACCCAAUGAUAUCUCUAGAAGACAUCUGAAAGAGAUUAAAGAUUUAUCGGUGAUGGAUGGGGAUGCGUCUGAUUAGCUUGUUGGCGGGGUAACGGCCCACCAAGGCAACGAUCAGUAGGGGUUCUGAGAGGAAGGUCCCCCACAUUGGAACUGAGACACGGUCCAAACUCCUACGGGAGGCAGCAGUGAGGAAUAUUGGUCAAUGGACGAGAGUCUGAACCAGCCAAGUAGCGUGCAGGAUGACGGCCCUAUGGGUUGUAAACUGCUUUUAUAAGGGAAUAAAGUGAGUCUCGUGAGACUUUUUGCAUGUACCUUAUGAAUAAGGACCGGCUAAUUCCGUGCCAGCAGCCGCGGUAAUACGGAAGGUCCGGGCGUUAUCCGGAUUUAUUGGGUUUAAAGGGAGCGUAGGCCGGAGAUUAAGCGUGUUGUGAAAUGUAGACGCUCAACGUCUGCACUGCAGCGCGAACUGGUUUCCUUGAGUACGCACAAAGUGGGCGGAAUUCGUGGUGUAGCGGUGAAAUGCUUAGAUAUCACGAAGAACUCCGAUUGCGAAGGCAGCUCACUGGAGCGCAACUGACGCUGAAGCUCGAAAGUGCGGGUAUCGAACAGGAUUAGAUACCCUGGUAGUCCGCACGGUAAACGAUGGAUGCCCGCUGUUGGUCUGAAUAGGUCAGCGGCCAAGCGAAAGCAUUAAGCAUCCCACCUGGGGAGUACGCCGGCAACGGUGAAACUCAAAUGAAUUGACGG